CAUUAUCGAAAUCGAAGGCCUAGGAGGGGAGACCCUCCGAAGCUUUUCAAGCAUUCUCCACACCCGUGUGCACCCGCUGUAGGUCCUUCGGGACCUACGUCUCACCUUUCGAACUCGUAUGUCCAUAGAAUGUAUCGAGUCGCUUCGGCGACGGCGAACCUUAUACAACUUUCAGCAACGGAUCUCUUGGCUCUCGCAUCGAUGAAGAACGCAGCGAAUCGCGAUAAGUAAUGUGAAUUGCAGAUUUUCCGUGAAUCAUCGAAUCUUUGAACGCACCUUGCGCUCCUUGGUAUUCCGAGGAGCAUGCCUGUUUGAGUGUCAUCGAAAUCUCGAACCGAACCCUUCGACCCGUCGGGGAGGCUCGGUUCGGACUAUGGGAGUCUGCGGGCGGAGAUGAUCCGUCGGCUCUCCUCAAAAGCAUUAGCUGUGGGUGCUGGCCUCGCAUGGCACGGCCUCUUCGACGUCAUAAUGAUCGUCGUGGGCUGGAAGUGCGCGGAUCGGCGUGUCCCAUGCUUCCCAACUUCUGCAUGCAUCGUGGCUUGACCUCAAAUCAGGCAGGACUACCCGCUGAACUUAAGCAUAUCAAUAAGCGGAGGAAAAGAAACUAACAAGGAUUCCCCUAGUAACUGCGAGUGAAGCGGGAAAAGCUCAAAUUUUGAAUCUGGCGGUCGGCGGCCGUCCGAGUUGUAAUCUAGAGAAGCGUCUUCCGCGCUGGACCGUGUAC
rnacentral:rRNA from 1 species